rnacentral:rRNA from 1 species
CCAGACUCCUACGGGAGGCAGCAGUGGGGAAUAUUGCACAAUGGGGGAAACCCUGAUGCAGCGACGCCGCGUGAGCGAUGAAGUAUUUCGGUAUGUAAAGCUCUAUCAGCAGGGAAGAAAAUGACGGUACCUGACUAAGAAGCCCCGGCUAACUACGUGCCAGCAGCCGCGGUAAUACGUAGGGGGCAAGCGUUAUCCGGAUUUACUGGGUGUAAAGGGAGCGUAGACGGUCCUGCAAGCCAGAUGUGAAAUCCCCGCGCUCAACGUGGGAACUGCCUUUGAAACUGGCAAACUGGAGUGUGUGAGAGGAUAGUGGAAUUCCAGGUGUAGGAGUGAAAUCCGUAGAUAUCUGGAGGAACAUCAGUGGCGAAGGCGACUAUCUGGCACAUAACUGACGCUGAGGAGCGAAAGCGUGGGUAGCAAACAGGAUUAGAUACCCCUGUAC